AGGGUUUGAUUCUGGCUCAGAACGCUGGCGGCGUGGUUUAGGCAUGCAAGUCGAACGAGAAAGCUCCCUUUGGGGGGUGAUUAGAGUGGUGAAAGGGUGAGUAAUAUAUGGACAAUUUAUCCUCGAGAUGGGGAUAACAGCUCGAAAGGGCUGUUAAUACCCGAUGGUUCCGGUUACUUGUGGGUUUCCGGAUAAAUGGUGUUUUUGUUUGAGGAGAGGUCCAUGUCCUAUUAGCUUGUUGGUGAGGUAAUGGCUCACCAAGGCUAUUAUGGGUAGCCGGAUUGAGAGGUUGGCUGGUUAUAUGGGACUGAGAUACUGCCCAGACUCCAACGGGAGGCUGCAGUCGAGAAUUUUCCGUAAUGGGCGAAAGCCUGACGGAGCGACGCCGCGUGCAGGAAGAAGGCCUUUGGGUUGUAAACUGCUGUCACAUGUUAAGAAUUGUUGUGGUUUAUUGUAAUUUGAUAAAAGUGUGAGAGGAAGUUAUGGCUAACUUCGUGUUAGUAGUUGUGGUAAAACGAAGGUGGCUAGCGUUGUUCGGAAUUACUGGGCGUAAAGAGCACGUAGGUGGUUUCGUGUGUCGAUGGUGAAAUUUUGUAGUUUAAUUGUAGAAUUGCCGUCGAAACUACGAGGUUAGAGGACAGGAGGGGAGAGUGGAAUUUUUAGUGUAGUGGUGAAAUGUGUAGAUAUUAGGAGGAAUGUUGGUGGUGAAAGUGACUCUCUGGACUGUUUCUGACACUGAGGUGCGAAAGCUAGGGGAGUAAAUAGGAUUAGAUAUCCUGGUAGUCCUAGCUGUAAAUGAUGGGCACUAGGCAGGGGAGGUUUUGAUGCCAUCCUUGCCGUAGUUAAUGUGUUAAGUGCCCCGCCUGGGGAGUAUGGUCGUAAGGCUAAAACUCAAAGGAAUUGACGGGGGUUUACAUAAGCGGUGGAGCAUGUGGUUUAAUUCGAAAUUAUGUGCAGAAUUUUACCCGGGUUUGAAAUGCAGGGAUUAUCCUCCUGAAAGGGAGGGGAUUGCCUUCGGGUGUAACCUGUAUAGGUGUUGCAUGGCUGUCGUUAGUUUGUGUUGUGAGAUGUUGGGUUAAGUUUUUUAAUGAGCGAAACCCUUGUCUUUAGUUGUUAGUGGGUUAUGUUGGGGAUUUUAAAGAGAUUGUUGUUGUUAAAAUGGAGGAAGGUGGGGACGACGUUAAGUCAUCAUGGCCUUUAUGUCCGGGGUUAUAUACGUGCUACAAUGGCCGGUAUAAAGCGAAGCAAAUCCGUAAGGUGGAGCAAAUCGAUAAAAGCCGGUCUUAGUUCGGAUUGGGGGCUGAAAUUUGCCCCCAUGAAGUUGGAAUUGUUAGUAAUCGCGGAUUAGUUAUGCCGCGGUGAAUAUGUUCCUGAGCUUUGUAUAUAUUGCCCGUCAAGUUAUGAAAGCUGGUAGUACCCUAAGUUGUGAUUUUAAUUUUUGGGAGGGUAGUGUUUAUGG
rnacentral:rRNA from 1 species